rnacentral:rRNA from 1 species
AUACGGAGGGUGCAAGCGUUGUUCGGAAUUACUGGGCGUAAAGCGCGUGUAGGCGGCUAGGUAAGUCGGGGGUGAAAUCCCGAGGCUCAACCUCGGAACUGCCUUCGAUACUAGCGAUCUUGAGACCGAGAGAGGUGAGUGGAACUCCGAGUGUAGAGGUGAAAUUCGUAGAUAUUCGGAAGAACACCAGUGGCGAAGGCGGCUCACUGGCUCGGUACUGACGCUGAGGUGCGAAAGCGUGGGGAGCAAACAGGAUUAGAAACCCCAGUAGUCC